GGGCGUUUAGCUCAGUUGGUUCAGAGCACCUGCCUUACAAGCAGGGGGUCGCUAGUUCGAAUCUAGCAACGCCCA
rnacentral:tRNA from 1 species